rnacentral:tRNA from 1 species
GGCCGCGUGGCUCAAUGGAUAACGCGUCUGCCUACGGAGCAGAAAAUUACAGGUUCAAAUCCUGCCGUUGUCG